rnacentral:rRNA from 2 species
UUAACAAAAACAUGUCUUUUUGAAUUUAAAUAUAAAGUCUAAUCUGCCCACUGAUAGAUUAUUUAAUGGCCGCAGUAUUUUAACUGUGCAAAGGUAGCAUAAUAAUUAGUCUUUUAAUUGAAGGCUUGUAUGAAUGAUUGGACGAGAUAUAAGCUGUCUCAUAAAAAUUUUUUUAGAAUUUAAUUUUUUAGUUAAAAAGCUAAAAUAGGUUUAAAAGACGAGAAGACCCCAUAGAUCUUUAUAUUUUUAUUAUUAUUAUUUUUUAGUUUCUUUAUAAAUUAAUAGAUAAAAAUAUUUUGUUGGGGUGACAUUGAAAUUUAAUAAACUUUCAAAAUUUAAUAACAUUGAUUUAUGAAUUUAUGAUCCUUUAUUAUUGAUUAAAAAUUUAAGUUACCUUGGGGAUAACAGCGUAAUUAUUUUGGAGAGUUCAUAUCGAUAAAAUAGAUUGCGACCUCGAUGUUGGAUUAAGAUUAAUUUUGGGUGUAGCAGUUCAAAUUAUUAAGUCUGUUCGACUUUUAAUUUCUUACGUGAUCUG